GGUCCGUCGGUCGACGUACGUCUACGAGAGUUAGUAGUAUCGUGUCAGAAUGAACGCUGGCGGCAUGGAUUAGGCAUGCAAGUCGAACGGGAUCCUUCGGGAUCCAGUGGCGGAAGGGUGAGUAACACGUGAGCAACCCGCCCCCAAGGCCGGAACAAGCGCUGGAAACGGCGUCUGAAACCGGAUGAGGACCUCCACCGCAUGGUGGGGCGUCCAAAUAUUCAUACCCUGGGGGAUGGGCUCGCGGCCCAUUAGCUUGUCGGCGGGGCGACGGCCCACCGAGGCGACGACGGGUAGGUGGUCUGAGAGGAUGGUCACCCACACUGGGACUGAGACACUGCCCAGACUCCUGCGGGAGGCUGCAGUCGAGAAUCUUCCGCAAUGGGCGCAAGCCUGACGGAGCGAUGCCGCGUGAGGGACGGAGGCCUUCGGGUCGUGAACCUCUGUCGCCCGGGACGAUGAUGACGGUACCGGGAAAGGAAGCCACGGCUAACCACGUGCCAGCAGCCGC
rnacentral:rRNA from 1 species